GUGCCAGCAGCCGCGGUAAGACGAACCGUGCGAACGUUGUUCGGAUUCACUGGGCUUAAAGGGCGCGUAGGCGGCUUGUCAAGUCAGGGGUGAAAUCUUUCGGCUUAACCGGAAAACAGCCCCUGAUACUGAUAGGCUAGAGGGAGGUAGGGGCAUGUGGAACUCCAGGUGGAGCGGUGAAAUGCGUAGAUAUCUGGAGGAACGCCGGUGGCGAAAGCGACGUGCUGGAUCUCUUCUGACGCUGAGGCGCGAAAGCUAGGGGAGCAAACGGGAUUAGAUACCCCGGUAGUCC
rnacentral:rRNA from 1 species